AAAUCAAUGGACCCGAAGGGGUUCGUGCUGGGCCUCGCCCGUCGGGCGUCGCCUGAAACGCAUCGGUCUUUGUGAGCGGAUGGGAUCCACCUGGAUUGGCCGCUCGGGGACCCGAAACAUCAG
rnacentral:misc_RNA from 1 species